rnacentral:rRNA from 1 species
AGUGAACGCUGGCGGUAGGCCUAACACAUGCAAGUCGAACGGCAGCACAGUAAGAGCUUGCUCUUACGGGUGGCGAGUGGCGGACGGGUGAGGAAUACAUCGGAAUCUACUUUUUCGUGGGGGAUAACGUAGGGAAACUUACGCUAAUACCGCAUACGACCUACGGGUGAAAGCAGGGGAUCUUCGGACCUUGCGCGUUUGAAUGAGCCGAUGUCGGAUUAGCUAGUUGGCGGGGUAAAGGCCCACCAAGGCGACGAUCCGUAGCUGGUCUGAGAGGAUGAUCAGCCACACUGGAACUGAGACACGGUCCAGACUCCUACGGGAGGCAGCAGUGGGGAAUAUUGGACAAUGGGCGCAAGCCUGAUCCAGCCAUACCGCGUGGGUGAAGAAGGCCUUCGGGUUGUAAAGCCCUUUUGUCGGGAAAGAAAAGCAGCAGGUUAAUACCCCGCUGUUCUGACGGUACCCAAAGAAUAAGCACCGGCUAACUUCGUG